rnacentral:rRNA from 1 species
ACGUAGGGUGCGAGCGUUAAUCGGAAUUACUGGGCGUAAAGCGUGCGCAGGCGGUUUGUUAAGUCAGAUGUGAAAGCCCCGGGCUCAACCUGGGAAUUGCAUUUGAUACUGGCAGACUAGAGUGCGGUAGAGGAGAGUGGAAUUCCCGGUGUAGCAGUGAAAUGCGUAGAGAUCGGGAGGAACAUCAGUUGCGAAGGCGGCUCUCUGGACCAGCACUGACACUGAGGCACGAAAGCGUGGGGAGCAAACAGGAUUAGAUACCCUGGUAGUCCACGCCCUAAACGAUGCGAACUGGACGUGGGGAUCAAUUGAGAUUUCAGUGACGAAGCUAACGCGUUAAGUUCGCCGCCUGGGGAGUACGGUCGCAAGACUG